rnacentral:rRNA from 1 species
GAGUUUGAUCCUGGCUCACAGCACGAACGUUGGGGCGGCUUAACACAUGCAAGUCGAACGAGAAAGUUUCCUUCGGGAAGCGAGUAAAGUGGCGCACGGGUGAGUAACACGUAGAUAAUCUGUCCAGGUGUUCGGGAUAGCCCUUCGAAAGGGGGAUUAAUACCGAAUUCGUUAGUCUUUCAUAAGUGAGAUUAAGAAAGGUGGCCUCUAUUUAUAAGCUAUCGCAUUUGGAGGAGUCUGCGUACCAUUAGUUUGUUGGUGGGGUAAUGGCCUACCAAGACUUCGAUGGUUAGCGGGGUCUGAGAGGAUGAUCCGUCACACUGGCACUGAAACACGGGCCAGACUCCUACGGGAGGCAGCAGUGAGGAAUAUUGCGCAAUGGGGGAAACCCUGACGCAGCGACGCCGCGUGGGUGAGGAAGGCUUUCGGGUCGUAAAGCCCUGUCAGAAGGGAAGAAGUGUGUAUAGGUUAAUAUCUUAUACAUUUGACGGUACCUUCAAAGGAAGCACCGGCUAACUCCGUGCCAGCAGCCGCGGUAAUACGGAGGGUGCAAACGUUGUUCGGAAUCACUGGGCGUAAAGGGCGCGCAGGCGGUUUGAUUAGUCAGAUGUGAAAAGCCCCACGGCUUAACCGUGGAAGUGCAUUUGAAACUGUCAGACUUGAGUACCAGAGGGGGUAGUGGAAUUCCCGGUGUAGAGGUGAAAUUCGUAGAUAUCGGGAGGAAUACCGGUGGCGAAAGGCGACUACCUGGCUGGAUACUGACGCUGAGGCGCGAAAGCGUGGGGAGCAAACAGGAUUAAGAUACCCUGGUAGUCCACGCCGUAAACGAUGUCAACUAAGGUGUAGGGGGUGUUGAUCCCCUCUGUGCCGGAGCUAACGCAUUAAGUUGACCGCCUGGGGAGUACGGUCGCAAGAAUUAAAACUCAAAGGAAUUUGACGGGGGCCCGCACAAGCGGUGGAGUAUGUGGUUUAAUUCGAUGCAACGCGAAGAACCUUACCUGGUCUUGACAUCCCGGAGAUCUCCUGGAAACAGGAGAGUGCUUUCAUUAGAGAGAAUCCGGUGACAGGUGCUGCAUGGCUGUCGCCAGCUCGUGUCGUGAGAUGUUGGGUUAAGUUCCCGCAACGAGCGCAACCCUCGCCAUUAGUUGCCAUCAUCUAGUUGGGCACUCUAAUGGGACUGCCGGUGUCAAACCGGAGGAAGGUGGGGAUGACGUCAAGUCCUCAUGGCCCUUAUGACCAGGGCUACACACGUACUACAAUGGCCGAAACAAAGGGCAGCCACAGAGCGAUCUGGAGCUAAUCCCGUAAAUUCGGUCUCAGUCCGGAUUGGAGUCUGCAACUCGACUCCACGAAGUUGGAAUCGCUAGUAAUCGUGGAUCAGCAUGCCACGGUGAAUACGUUCCCGGGCCUUGUACACACCGCCCGUCACACCACGGGAAGUCGGUUGUACCAGAAGUAGUUGAGCGAACCCUUCGGGGAAGCGAGGCUACCAAGAGAUGGCUGGUAACUGGGUGAAGUCGUAACAAGGUAACC